rnacentral:rRNA from 1 species
GUUAAGCGACUAAGCGUACACGGUGGAUGCCCUGGCAGUCAGAGGCGAUGAAGGACGUGCUAAUCUGCGAUAAGCGUCGGUAAGGUGAUAUGAACCGUUAUAACCGGCGAUUUCCGAAUGGGGAAACCCAGUGUGAUUCGUCACACUAUCAUUAACUGAAUCCAUAGGUUAAUGAGGCGAACCGGGGGAACUGAAACAUCUAAGUACCCCGAGGAAAAGAAAUCAACCGAGAUUCCCCCAGUAGCGGCGAGCGAACGGGGAGCAGCCCAGAGCCUGAAUCAGUGUGUGUGUUAGUGGAAGCGUCUGGAAAGGCGCGCGAUACAGGGUGACAGCCCCGUACACAAAAAUGCACAUGCUGUGAGCUCGAUGAGUAGGGCGGGACACGUGGUAUCCUGUCUGAAUAUGGGGGGACCAUCCUCCAAGGCUAAAUACUCCUGACUGACCGAUAGUGAACCAGUACCGUGAGGGAAAGGCGAAAAGAACCCCGGCGAGGGGAGUGAAAAAGAACCUGAAACCGUGUACGUACAAGCAGUGGGAGCACGCUUAGGCGUGUGACUGCGUACCUUUUGUAUAAUGGGUCAGCGACUUAUAUUCUGUAGCAAGGUUAACCGAAUAGGGGAGCCGAAGGGAAACCGAGUCUUAACUGGGCGUUAAGUUGCAGGGUAUAGACCCGAAACCCGGUGAUCUAGCCAUGGGCAGGUUGAAGGUUGGGUAACACUAACUGGAGGACCGAACCGACUAAUGUUGAAAAAUUAGCGGAUGACUUGUGGCUGGGGGUGAAAGGCCAAUCAAACCGGGAGAUAGCUGGUUCUCCCCGAAAGCUAUUUAGGUAGCGCCUCGUGAAUUCAUCUCCGGGGGUAGAGCACUGUUUCGGCAAGGGGGUCAUCCCGACUUACCAACCCGAUGCAAACUGCGAAUACCGGAG